CAGGAAUUAAAGAUUUUGGCAAAGCGACUACCGCCCCCGAUCCGGGAUUCUCAACCACCAUUAUUUUCCGGAAUUAAAGAUUUUGGCAAAGCGACUACCGCCCCCGAUCCGGGAUUCUCAACCACCAUUAUUUUCCGG